GGAAGCCGGACACUGUUUGUGGAAUUCGCCUGGAGCCUCUGCGCAGCGCCGCGCCCCAGCCGAGCGUUUGCCCCCGGCGCCCGGCCCGGGCUCCCAGCGCCCGGCGGGGCAGAGCUUGGAUGGGUUCUUGCUGGUGCUUCCUUGGAGUCCGCUCCCCGCUGAGUGCGAUGUCGCAAGGUACGCCUUCCAGGAACGGCUUCUGAAAAGCAAGCUGUUGCAGUCUGAGCCCCGGCUCCAGUGCCCCCUCUUUCCUAAAUUCUACACUUUUGGUUACACUGCCAAUAAGGAUACUGGACGACAAGGCGGGUUGCAAGAGCCUCAUCAAAGGAUUUGGUCAAAGCUGGACCCUUUGGGCGCUGAACACGGUUUUGUGAACAGCAGUGCAGUGCUCCAGAAUGUUUUAACUGUAACGUCUGCUUGUGCAGAUUUGCAAUGAAGAGUAUUGGGAAACAGUACUGCUGGAAGAGUAACAAUUUAACCGCAGGGUAAAGCAGUGGUCCUGAGCAAGGGGAGAGGUGGAGCCUCCUGGCUGGGCCAUAGCGCCCCCCUGAGGAGGUCUGGGGUGCAGCCCUGAGGGAGGAUGGCAGGAGCUUCCACCAGACCCGUGGCUGCCAUAAAGCCGGCCAUUAAGCCCCUCAUGUAGCCAGAGAGCUCCCCAGGUGGAAGAACCUGACCCACACAACAUGCUUCCUUGAAGUGACUUCAUCCCUGCCUCAGUUUACCCGCUCCUUCUCUGCAGCCCUGACAUUCAGUAAGCAGUUCACGGAUAGCCAUGGCCCGAGAUGAAUGAGCCAUCCCAUCGGCCCCGUCACUCUACUCACUGUACGGGAAUUCUGCUUUGAGGCCAAGAGACUCCUAUGCCUCCAAUCCCACCCUAGAUCUCAUUAAAAUAAGUGAAGAUAGGCCGGUGCCGCGGCUCACUAGGCUAAUCCUCCGCCUUGUGGUGCCGGCACACCAGGUUCUAGUCCCGGUCGGGGCACCGGAUUCUGUCCCGGUUGCCCCUCUUCCAGGCCAGCUCUCUGCUAUGGCCCGGGAGUGCAGUGGAGGAUGGCCCAGGUGCUUGGGCCCUGCACCCCAUGGGAGACCAGGAUAAGUACCUGGCUCCUGCCAUCGGAUCAGCAUGGUGCGCCGGCCGCAGCACGCUGGCCGCGGCGGCCAUUGGAGGGUGAACCAACGGCAAAGGAAGACCUUUCUCUCUGUCUCUCUCUCUCACUAUCCACUCUGCCUGUCAAAAAAAAAAAAUAAAUAAAAUAAGCGAAGAUAAUAAAUGAGAGAGACAAUAUGGCGGCAGGGGGUGGGGUUGGGCAUCUAAGCCCAGUUGUGGUAGGGAUUCCAGGAAAGAAAAACACAUGUGACCCUGCAGGAGCCCUGAGGGAGGGGAGACUGGAGACAGGGGAGACAUAAAGGAUGUUGCCAAGCCUGCCAAAUGGACCUGGUUGAGAACUCUGCACGCUUCUGUGCAAAUCACACUACUCCAACGUCAGCUUCCUGAUUUGUUCACGUAGCAUGCCUCAUUAGCAUACAGUUUCAGUUCCCUGAUUGGCUGUUAAGGGAUAACAGGGGCAUCCUGAUUGAUUGUUAUUCUGCCCUUCCUCUGAUUGAUUAACUCUGUACUCACUUUUGAGAAAGGGGCCAGUCGGGGAGAGCCACUUU